GAAACAGCGGGAUUUAUUAACGUGCCCAUCUUCCCACUGCAUCAUGCGCAGAACUGAAUAAUAAUUAACGUACGCACAUUCAUAAUGCUCCAACUCGGUUUGAGCGGGUAAAACACAGCUGUCCCUUCAGGACCUACUAUGUAAAAAUCUAUAUUUAAGCUAUCUUCAAGCAAUGGGGCCAUUGGAAUUGAAAUUGCUUGGAGCAUUAUUCAGGUUCUAUAUGCCUCCCUUUUCGACAUGUGACAUUUUAUUGUUGGUGUUGUAACGGAACUGAGGUUGAUUUUACACAGAGCGGGAGAAAAAUGAAUUUUAUUUGGAAUAAUUGGACUCUUGCACAGCGCGUUAUUAUCUCCUGGUAGGAGGGUAGGUCGUCAUCAUGUUUUCUUGGAAAUAAGCCACAACUUUCAGAGCGGGGAAAGAUUUAAACGGUUUGAGAUCUAAAGACAUUAAACACUGGUCUUCUGGUGGCUUUUGGUAUGGCAAACACUUUAGGAAUCCGUGUUGUUCGACCGGUAACACUCCGAAAGUUUCAUCAACCUGAGCUCGACCUUUCAAAGGAACGUGACACCGAUCCUCUUUUAUCGGCCAACAGAGUGCGCACUUCUCAUCAACGAAUGACAGGGGAUUGUCAGCCAAGCAAGUCGUGGAAUGCACAUUCAAAUCCACAAUCUCAGUCAAGCACUGUCGACCGUAGUACGCAAACACAGUGCACGGACGAUAUUCGACACACAGAUUUUGUUAUUCGGGGCACGGCUGCAGACGACAGAGUAGACAUGCCAGUAUCGUCUACACUCACACAUUAUUCUAUGCACAAAAGUAACCAGGAUUUCUCGAAUUUCGAGCCGAACUGCCCAAACUCGAUGGACUAUCACUCUCAUGGAGGAACUUUAACCCAUUCGUCUCCGUUUAACGGGAUUAAACAAGCAGGAUAUGACACUUAUGGUAGCGAGUUAGAGUAUCGAGUUGGAGCACCGAUUCCCGUGGGAGAUACUGGUAGCGGCGGAGUUGGUACCGGCUUUGGUGGCGGACCAUUGCUGAAACAGGGUGGAUCUUUGGUAGACGAGAUUGGACCAAAAGAGGCGCCACAUAAACUUGGAAGUAGCAAGGAUACCUAUACUAAAAUGACGAGAGCGGUGACACAGAAACCCGAAGGGAUCGGGGAAUCAUUAGCCUGGCUCAAACGAGAACUGGUGAGCAUAGAUCUUGAUUUGACAUGUAUUUGAUGAUUUUGUUGGAUAUAUGAGGUUGAUAAAAAUGUGUGUUCGGUUGAUUCAAAGUGGUAUUAGUGUGGGGGGGGUCUUUGAUUGGUGACGUCGUUUUUUGCUUUUCUUCUUUACAAUCAAAUUACAUUUAAAGCACACGUAUUGUGGUUUUAAAUGUUAAGCGUGGAAGAUUUUUAUGUGAAUGAAAUCAAAAUAUUCAUAAAAGUUGAAAGACAAAUUCUUUGUAGGUCGAUCUGCAUUUAUUUAGCGCUUUGAGCCUUUAUGGGAAGAGCGCUAUAUAAAAACUAGCUAUUGUUAUUAUUAUUGUUAUUAUUUUUAUUAUUCUCAUCAUCAUCCUCAUUUAUAAUAUGAACAUUAAUUGCUGAAGACGAAAAAUGGGCUUCAAUAUAUUAGUCAAGAGGUACAAUAGUUAAGCAUGGGCAACUAACCUUGAUGGUCAGAUCUUUUGUGGGUUAUAGAAGGCAUACACACCUUCACUUUUUGUACAAUUUAUAGAAACCACGUGAAUGACGUUACUCAAGAACGGAGCAAAAAAAAACAUGAUUGGGUGUAUUCAGUGAAGCACAUGAACAUUACUAUAUCACUUUUAAUAGAUCCCGUUUCAUCAACAAACAUGACAAAAACAAACUGACGUUUAUUUAGCCCAUUAUUUGCGUACAUCAUUUUGUUUUCAAGAUCAAGAUGUAGAAGUUGGAUACUGAGCUUUUCAGGAGUUUCUCUACCAAUAUUAUAAAGUCUAUAGAAAUACUUCUCCCUGUUUUUAGGUUAAACUGCGCUGUAAUCACAUGAAGUGUUUUUAGGCACUUUUUCCAGAAGGGCAUUACGAAGCUGUUUGUUUGAUUGUUUUAAAAUACAUUAUGGGAGAUAAAGUCCAAGCGUACCACUGACAGUUUUCCUUUGAUGUAUUGUGUUGAACUGGUAGUUUUAUGCAGUUCGUCUCCGACAUUCAUUUGGGUGCGGUGACUGUGUUAUAAAUGGAAUGCAGGAUUAUGCCAUUUUCACGAUCUCUUUCUAUUAUUACAUCAAUCCCUCGUUCCAAUUCAAUCCUCUUCACCUCACUCUCACAAAGAACACCACUCUGAAAGAGAUCCAUGCAUGCCAAACAAAUAACCUCAACGAAUUCGUUAUUUCGACACACCGAAAAAACCCACUCUUUCAAAAAUGGGUAAGGAGCAAGUUACUUCCUGUGUAGUAACAUGCAGUAGCACAGAUUUGUAAAUGCAAGGAUCAUUUUAAUACACAGUUUAACCAGCUUAGAUAUACGCCUACUGAAGAUUUUCAUAAACCAAUGUGACAACUAUAUGCAGCCCGAUUUCGUGUUCAUCGCAUGGGAUAUUUAUUUUGAGAAAGGAGAUAAGGGACGAUAAACGAGAUAGGCAAAGCAAACGUGAUGUGAUUAUUAGUAAUAAGGUCAUCUUAUGGCAACCUUAUAAUGUUUUAUUCCAAGUCUUGGCACGUUCCGUCUUUGAUAUUAGAGUGAUUUCGCUUUAUCUUAAAAGAUAUUAUUGUAGAUUGAACUGUAAACAUGAUGUCGAUCGAGAUAAACUUAUGCAACACGUUUGCACGUAUAUGUAUAUAUAUACCCUCGUACAUUGACGAUAAAAAAUGAAAUGUUAAAUAAGCAAUUGAAAUAUUUUAGGAUUGAUCACCUUUUCCAAAUAUUGCUUUUACCACUUUGAUUUUUCGAUCCAACACUUACAUUAUUGUAUUCAGCUUCAUGCAAGUUUGGAUAUAACAUGUGGGGAAAAAAAAAUGUCACUCUAACCUAGUUUCAAUUGCCGAUUUAACAUUACAUUUUUAACUCCAGAGUGUAUUGUUUCCAAAUAAAACAACAAUAAUAUGCUGAGCUUAUAUCAUAUCUUGGCAGUAUUUAAUGUAAAACAGCUACUGCUGAUAUCUUGUGACAACAGUUUAAACCGUAAUGAUCUUCGUCAUCCUCCUCCGUCUGGGCAAGAAGUGAUUCCAAUCAGGCAGGUGCUGAGGAAGGAAAUGUUCUUUCAUCGUCGAAUACACUACAAGAGCAUUUAACUCGAGACCGAUUUAUGCAUGUAUAAGAAAAAUGCACGUUUCGAAGUUUUGACACAACACCAGUUUAGAAUCAAACCCAGAAUUGACGUUGUUUUAGACGCCUAUUUGAUGUUAGCCCAAAAUAAAACUGGUGAAAUUCAUGUAAGACACUAGGCUGGUAUUGACACUGACUUUUGCAGUGAGUGAGUGUAGGCAGCUAAUAAGUAUUUUUGAAAUAUUUAAGUAAAUUGGAAGAGGAUAUACGCUUAUUAUCCCGUACGAUAUCAGUGAUUACAAUUUCCUUCAUACUUUAGAAUUACAAUUGACCCUCUCCAGGUUACAAAAUAAUGCUUUGUCGAUUCCCCCCAUUAUGUCAAACAAAAUAUAUAUCAAGAGGGUGGGUUAACGUCUAAAAAAAUAGGGAAACUCGAGAAAGAUAAGUAGUUUUCUUUGGUGUGUGGAGAUACGAUGUUUGAAAAAAAUUAGUUCUUGUCACUAUGAGCCCAAUAUUUUCAAAUUAGAUCGUUUAUCAUUCGAUAUCUGUCACCGUACUCUGACAAAUGAUGAGAAAGUUUGCAACUCGUAAGAUCAUAUAUUUUAUAAUUGUCUUAAAUAUUGUAGGUAUCUAUUGUUCUAGAAACGAAUUCGAUGUUUUAAUUGCUUUGAAAUAUGACAAACAAUAAAACAUGGCACGUAGUCUUCGACCAUGCAAAUCUCUGUGCGGUGAAAUUGCCUUAUACGGUAUAUUCCUCGAUACUGUAGGAUUUUUUUUCUGUGCCAGCAAAUUGAAUUUUUGGCUAAGAGAUCGGGAAGGAUAUUCGAGCAAAACUUCCGAUUUUACAAGCUUAAAUGGAAUAACCUGAAUCCCCACACAUAUAUCCAAACAUAAUACACCUAAAACUUGAAACGUGUUAGUUUAUGGGUAUCACGAGAUCAUUUUUUAUAUAGGCCUACAUACAAUAUACAAGAUAUAUAAUAGCAGCUUUAUAAUGUACUUAUUUGAUUUUAUUCACUUCCCUCUAGUACUUGGAAAUAAUCGUUAUCUACCAAUUGUACUAAUCAGCUAAUGGUGACGUUUAAACGUGACUUUUUCUAAGGUUCGAGAUAAUAUAUAACUGAAAAAUGAUUUAAUACAUGCCAUCAAUUCUGACUUGUCAAUCAAUUCCUAUACAAUACAUGUUUAAAACUUCAGUUCAUCUAUCCUCCAUCGUCCUCCAUUGAAAUCAAUCUAGUUCUUACAAACGACAGCUUAGUUUGAUUGAUACAAAUGUAUUUUAACGAAUAGUUAUAAAGGCAAUUAUCAUGAAGGAAAUGCGUGUUUCUCUACGUUAUUUUGAAGAGUUAUUAUACAGAUUCAUCCAGCUGUAGGCGGAGACCUUCAUUUCUAUAACCCAAUCUGAUGAAAUGCGUCCAUCUCCCAUACGAUUUAUAUUUGGCAGAUGGUUCUUGUAGCUACGAAGAUAAAUAAUGUGCAGAAGAAGAACACAUUCGUCAUCGCUAAUGAGAGGAAAUCAUACAAUGUUUUCAGAGUCCAUUCACCUUCUAGAACAGACAUGAUGAGUAUUUGGAUUAGUAAAUCCUUCACAGCCUUACAAAGGAAGAUUUGUGUUUCCUGUCUUUGAUGAUUACAUCUUUAUUUCAAAGCAGACGAUUGUUUACAAGCUUAAAUGGAAAGUUCACUCUUAAUAAUAACUUGGUUGUGAUAAGAAAAUGAUAUUGGAGUUAAUUGUUACGGAGUUAUUAGUUUUAUAAGAAAAAAUAUAUAGAUUGUGACGUCACAGGCGAGCAGUUCCUCCAUGUGCCAGGUUAUUUGAAUUCCAAAAAGUUUCAUUUUCUCUUUAAAAAAAUGGAAGUGAUUUUAUGUGUGCUGUGGAUGUAUUAUCAUUACACUUCAUUCAUAACCUCUUUUAUGAGAAAAUAUUCAUGUUCCACUAAAAAGAAAUGGAGAUUAGUGAAUUAUUAGUCCUGUGUGUUAUAUAGGGGAGCUGUUCGCAUAUUACGUUACGAAAUAAAAACAAAAUUAUGAAUUUUCAUCAAACCUUCAUAUUUUUUCGCGAAUAUUCCUGUUACUAUCAAAACCAACUGUACGUUAGGGGGAACUUCCCUUUAACGAAUCUUCCUCAAAAUAUUAUGUCUGUAGUCAUAUAAGGGAUGAAUACCUUUUCUUAUCCUGGUGUGAUCGAAUAGUUA